rnacentral:misc_RNA from 1 species
AGCAGCCGCGGUAAUUCCAGCUCCAAUAGCGUAUAUUAAAGUUGCUGCAGUUAAAAAGCUCGUAGUUGAAUUUCGGGACUAAUAUGUCGGUCGUGCCUCGGUACGUACUGGUUUAUUGGUUUCUCCUUUCUGAAGAACCAUGAUGUCAUUCAUUUGGUGUCGUGGGGAAUCAGGACUGUUACUUUGAAAAAAUUAGAAUGUUUAAGCAGGCUCACGCUUGAAUACAUUAGCAUGGAAUAAUGAAAUAGGACGUUUGAUUCUAUUUUGUUGGUUUCUAGGAUCGACGUAAUGAUUAAUAGGGAUAGUUGGGGGCAUUAGUAUUCAAUUGUCAGAGGUGAAAUUCUUGGAUUUAUUGAAGACUAACUACUGCGAAAGCAUUUGCCAAGGAUGUUUUCAUUAAUCAAGAACGAAAGUUAGGAGAUCGAAGACGAUCAGAUACCGUCGUAGUCUUAACCAUAAACUAUGCCGACUAGGGAUCGGAUGAUGUUAAUUUUUUAAUGACUCAUUCGGUGCCUUACGG